rnacentral:rRNA from 1 species
AUUGUAGGCUGCAACCCGCCUACAUGAGUCGGAAUUGCUAGUAAUCGUGGAUCAGCAUGCCACGGUGAAUACGUUCCCGGGCCUUGUACACACCGCCCGUCAAACCAUGAGAGUUGGCAACACCCGAAGCCUGUAGCUUAACCGCAAGGAUGGCGCAGUCGAAGGUGGGGUCGAUGAUUAGGGUUAAGUCGUAACAAGGUAAC